UCUGGACACCCUGACUGUGAAACAGUUUUUCCUCAUGUUGAGCGUGAAUUGAUUUUCCAGGAAUUUGUGGCCAGUACUCCUAGUUUGCCCCUUGGAUGCACUGGUGAACAGUUGCUCACCAAGCCUUUGAUGUACUGCUACCAGGGCCCCUCUCAGCUGUCUUUUCUUCAGGUUGAAGCAGAUGAAGAACAAUAAGGCAUCUGGAGCUGAUGAAAUUCAUGCCAAAAUCUUCAAGUAGGGGGAAAGGAGCUCAAUCACAGCUUCACGCCCUCAUCUUCAGGAUUUGGAAUGACAAGGAAGUCCCAGAUGACCUCAGGGAUGCCAUGAUUGUGACAGUAAGAAAGGAGACAAGUCCACCUGUGGAAAUUAGAGGGAUCUCCUUGCUAUCCAUUACAGGAAAGAUCAUUGUGAGAGCCAUCUCCUUUCACUAGCUGAAGAGCUCCUCCCAAGAUCUCAGUUUGGGUUUGGGGCGUCAAGAGGCACAACUGACAAGAACUUUAUCAUCAGCUGCAGGCAAAAUGCUGGGAACAGGAGCGAACAAUGCAGCAGGCAUGCAAUCGCCCAUGUUCAGAGUCGCUCAUUAUUGGGGGAGAGACUGACACAAAUGUACAUCACUUUCACCAGGGAUUUAAUACGAUAAGAAACUGACUCAAAAUCAGUUAGGCUACUGGUGAACGGAGACCACUGCUCAUCAUGUUGUUAUUCUCUGUAGCCUGUCUUAUACUGCUCCAUUGUUUUUUUUUCUUGUGUCUUGUACUUCAGUUGUGUACUGUUUAGGCAGGGACAGGGUUUUUUUUAUUUGUGUUUCUAUGACACAGCACAGUUCGUGACUACAUCUCCUAGGCCUGAUGAAAAUACAAAAAAUAAUGAUAGCUUAAGCUUCCAAAAGAGAUCUAAGAUACAGCAUUAAUGAGCUGAUUUAAAUUCGCAAAAAGCAAAUGAAAAACAUUGCAUCUUUUGCAGCAAAAGAGACAAGACUUGGCUGUAAUGUAUGUAAAGGGGGUUCAUUAAGGGUGCUGAACAGGGACAGACCCCAAAGUAAAUCGUAGUGUUGCCAGCCUUGGCUUUUUUCAGGGGGCCUAAGCCAGCUGCAGGGACAUGGCUAAAUAAGGUUCACUUAAUGAUCACUCAAAAACAGGCUUUUGUGUGAGCAUCACAAAGUAAACCUUUGCAGAUGCUACAAUUAGCCUGCUCAACUAAGUAAAAGAAAGUAGGUGGCAUGUCCAGCAAACCCAAUAGUGAAAUCAAAUUAAACAGAGCAAAAGGCCUGAUGAGAAACAUCACAUGAGAAGAUAAACAAACCAGACAUAGCAGACUUAGUUUCAACUUAAGAUUGUUAGUGGUACUGACUGAUGUAAGCAAAUGUGCAGAUGUAGUUGUGCUAUAACAGGUCUAUACCUUUACUCAGUGCCUUAGGUACGUUGCAAAAACAAAAGCAGCCUGGUCACAGAUGACCAUAAAUAAAGAGAAAAGAGGUCAGGGACAUUUCAGAAUAAAGGAAAUGACUGUGAUAGACAAAGCACAAAUGGAUAUAUAAUAGUAAUAAUUCAAGAUAGAUAUUUCCAGUUCCCAGGAAAAACACUGCAUCUGACAUCUGUAGUUUUUUAUGAUUAAAAUACUGAGAAAAAUCUUGUA